rnacentral:tRNA from 1 species
GCCGAUAUAGCUUAGUUGAUAAAGCAGCGUAUUCGUAAUACGAAGAGAUGGGUUCAAUUCCUAUUAUCGGCA